CUACGGAGGAUGCGAGCGUUAUCCGGAUUUAUUGGGUUUAAAGGGAGCGUAGGUGGGAUAUUAAGUCAGCUGUGAAAGUUUGGGGCUCAACCUUAAAAUUGCAGUUGAUACUGGUUUCCUUGAGUACGGUACAGGUGGGCGGAAUUCGUGGUGUAGCGGUGAAAUGCUUAGAUAUCACGAAGAACUCCGAUCGCGAAGGCAGCUCACCGGGCCGGAACUGACACUGAUGCUCGAAAGUGCGGGUAUCAAACAGGAUUAGAUACCCUGGUAGUUCGCACAGUAAACGAUGAAUACUCGCUGUUUGCGAUACACGGUAAGCGGCCAAGCGAAAGCGUUAAGUAUUCCGCCUGGGGAGUACGCCGGCAACGGUGAAACGCAAAUGAAUUGGCGGG
rnacentral:rRNA from 1 species